GACAGAGGCCCCAAGCGUUAGGCGGAAUCACUGGGCUUAAAGCGUGUGUAGGCGGAUCGUUAAGUGUCUUGUGAAAUCCCACGGCUCACCCGUGGAACUGCUGGGCAUACUGGCGAUCUUGGGCCAACUAGGGGCAGUCGGGACAAGCGGUGGAGCGGUGAAAUGCGUAGAUAUCGCUUGGAACGCCGAAGGUGAAAACAGACUGCUGGGGUUGCGCCGACGCUGAGACACGAAAGCCAGGGGAGCAAACGGG
rnacentral:rRNA from 1 species